UUUCCGUAGGUGAACCUGCGGAAGGAUCAUUAAUAAUAAGUGUUUUACUGCACUUUUUAAAAAUAGUACUCACUUUGUGUGCAAUGUUGUGUGUCUUUUCGGAGUAACACCUACACCAACCUAUAACAUUGAACCACUUCGUCUGAAAAACUAUUACGAAUACUUAAUUCAAAAUACAACUUUCAACAACGGAUCUCUUGGCUCUA
rnacentral:misc_RNA from 1 species